rnacentral:rRNA from 1 species
GAUCAUGGCUCAGGAUGAACGCUGGCGGCGUGCUUAACACAUGCAAGUCGAACGGGAAAUACUUUAUUGAAACUUCGGCGGAUUUAAUUUAUUUCUAGUGGCGGACGGGUGAGUAACGCGUGGGUAACCUGCCUUAUACUGGGGAUAACAGCCAGAAAUGGCUGCUAAUACCGCAUAAGCGCACAGAACCGCAUGGUUCGGUGUGAAAAACUCCGGUGGUAUAAGAUGGACCCGCGUUGGAUUAGCUAGUUGG